ACUGUAACGCGCUCCCAAUUGGCAGGACGCCCGCCACUGCAACCGCGAAUAAAACAGCCUCACAGAAGAUCGUGUGUGAAGCAAAUGAUUUGAGAUGUUUCUCGCAGAGACACCUGGGAAGCGGCGCAGUGAUUGGCUGGACCCUGAGGGCGGAAGUGGCGUCCGGACGUGCCUUCCCUGAGGGCGGAAACGCUCCGUGAUUGGCUCGGAGGAACCCAGGGCGGAAGUGCCGUGCAGGGCUUGCCGGCACUGUGGGCGGAGGCUGUCGGGCCGGGCCGGGCUCGGGCCGGCGAGGCGCGGUGCAGCAACGAGGGCAGAAGCAGCUCCCCGCCGCUAGGACCCCUGCGGGGUUUGUUGCCGAGCGAAGGUGGCGCACCGGCUACACCGAGGAAAGCUGCAGCUGGCGUGCUGCAGCCGCGGGUUUCCCAGGAGAAAGGGCAGCCCGACUGUCCCAGCUGUCCGGGACUCUUGGACAGCCCUCCAGGAUCUGAUGAUGCAAAGCUCGCUGACAUAUUCUACCCAGGAGACCAACAAUCUGUGACAUUUGGAACCAAAUCCCGGGUGGGAAUGGGAGGCAUGGAAGCCAAGGUGAAAGCAGCUCUGUGGGCUCCAAGGAGGCGCCUCCGUAGUGAUUGCAAAUGGAACCCCACCCAAAGAUCUCGGGUCAUGUCAUCACAGAUAUUGUGGAAACGGGAAGAAAGUUUGGUAACCUUUUUUUCAGAUGUAGAACCUGCAGGUGAGCGCGGAAGUGACAUGUACAUUGGGAGCUUGUAGAGAUUUCCUGAAAGUUAGGGUUGAAAAUUUUGGCUAGGCCUGCCUGUUCAACAAAUGGGAAACUAUGCUCUGCUUGACAAACGGCUUUCGAAAGGUAAUUUUUAAUGUUGGAAUAGAACGUCUUGAAUCCUCUGCUCGGCUUCCUUCCAGCUGAUGACUUGCUGCAUCAGACUUGCAUCAAAGACCUAGGUAGAAUUUGUAUUGUUUUUAGUCUUAGAGGUUAUCAUCUACUAUCGAAGAUUCAGGGUGAAAGCAGUGCAUGUAGAACGUACUGCUGAACUAAGAUAGUGCGUAGUUCUUGUUUUUUUGUCGUAAGUUCUUUUAAUGACUCGGUCUUUUUGUUAUUGUAAUGGAGGAAAUGUUUCCUGCCUCUGUGUUGCUGUGACAACGUAACAAGGGCCGGAGAAAGUCAGACCAAAGAUCUGUGAUCUUAGCAGAAUGGAACAAGCUAUAGAGUGAUACUUGUGCCUUGCACUUUAAGAACAGAGCAAAUGCCUUUGAGUAUAAAAAUGCUUAAUGGAUUUCUUGAUAAAAAUCGGGCCAUAUCCUUUGAACCCAUGGUAAACACUUAGCAUCCAUGGGUCACAACAGUCACGAGCCUUAACUAGGUAUUGUGCGUAAACUCUGGAGCUAGCACUGUGUGGAGAACUGCUUCCUUUAUUUUGUGUGUGUUUGUGGGCAGGAGGAGUGUUGAAGUUUGCUUCCUGCUAGCUUUUGAUGCCCCCGCCUUCUGUGUGGAAAGAGAACACGGGUGAUCGAUCUCUGUUCAACUUCUCUGAUAUGAGACAUCGUCUUUUCCCUCAUCAUCUCUUUUUCACAUGAAAAAGGUUUUUUCUUAGUCCUUUUCUACAGAAACUGUUCCAAAAGUUUGGCGAUCCCUGUUUCUCUUGGCUGAAACUGUUUUUAUUCUACUGCGACCUUUUUAAGAUAGGCAAAAAUAAAAUUUUGUGUAGCGUCCAAGAUGCAAAUGAACCUUCGGUUUAUGAGAUAGCAAGGCUAACUUUGAGUUUUGAUUAGAUUGGUGAUGUUUUUUGUUGCCUUUCCUAGGCCUUUUCCAAAAGCCUAAACAUGUAAGUUGCUGUUCGACGCUGAUGAGCAUCGAAGUGAUGUUUUCAUAGGAUUAUGUGCAGUACCAAGGCCUGAUUUCCCCUUUUGCCUCUGCAUUGCCUCAUGUUUAUCUGCUUUGAAUUGUACUUGCUAUUUUGUUGCAUAGUGGCUGCAAAGGAAUCACAGGCUGGUUGAGGUUGGAAGGACCUCCAGAGGUCACCUGGUCCAACACCCCUGCUCGAGCAGAGCCACCCAGAUCUGGUUUUCCAGGACCACGUCCAAACAGGUUUUGAAACCUCACGAAGGCUGUGACUCCACGACCUCCCUGGGCAACCUGUGCUAGUGCUCAGUCACCCUCACAGUGAAAAAGUAUUUACUGAUGUUCAGGAAACCGCAGGAGGGAACGUCCUAUGUUUCAGUCUGUGUCUGUUGCCUCUUUUUUUGUUCCUUGGACACCAGUUAGAAAAGUCCGGCUUUGUCUUCUUUCCACCCUCCCUUCGUGUAUUUACAGACAUCAGUGAGAUCCCCUCCAAGCCUCCUCUUCUCCAGGCCGAACAGUCCCAGCUCUCCUAGCCUGUCCUUGUAGGAAAGGUGCUUCAGUCCCUUAUCAUCCUCGUGGCCCUCCAUUGGACUCUUUCCAGUGUGCCCAGGUCUCUCUUGUACUGGGAGGCCCAGACCCAGCACUCCAGGUGCGGCCUCACCAUUCCUGAGUAGAGGGGGAGGAUCACCUUUCUUGACCUGCUGGCAGUACUUUGCCUAAUGCCACCCAGGAUACCAUCAGCUGCUUUUGCAGCAAAGGCACAUUGCUGUUUCGUGUUCAAGUUGGUGUCCACCAGGAAACUUAGCUCCUUUCCUGAAAAGUUCUUUUCUAGGAAAAAGUGUGAUAUCAGCGCUUUUCACUUUGUCCUACUGCAAUAAAUUUGUACCAGUUAUAAAGCUUUUCGUCUCGUAACCCCAUUUCUCAGACAAUUACAAAUACGGUGAACGGCAAAAGUAAAUGUGAAAUUUUACUGCGACCCUUCCGCUACCAUGGAAUGUGGUUACUCCCGUUCUUUCUUUGUCUUCUAUCUUCCAAAACAUGCUUUAAAUAUUCAGGUAACUUUUUAAAACGAACUCUUAUCUCCUUACGUGUGUCACUUUUUUCCAAAGAAGAUGAAAAUACACUCUACUUUGCGAAGUAUGACCUCGCUUUAAAAAGCUGUUUUAACACUCCUUAAUUAAGUCUUAUUAAUCAAGUGUCCGCUAGUUCUUUUCUUACACUUCCCACUAUACCUCCUGUUAUUUUCCUUAACGUGGGAAUUCCUGCUCUGGCAAUUUCUGUAGGACACUUCUUAAAUAGAAGUCCAGGCAUAUUAGUCACGUUUCAAGUCAUCUGUUCUACAGACAAUUUCAAGAGAGUUAAAAAUGAAAACGUAGCUUAUCCAUGAGCUACUUGAGAACUCCUUAGUGAAAUGCUGCCUGAGCCUUUUGACUUGUUAUUCCUGUUUCUGUUUCGAAAGUUGUUCUGUAUCAUUUCAGUUUGAGACAGAUUCUUUGACAUCCAUGCCAAGAAAAAAAACCUUUCUUCUGUAGGAACCCUUCGAUGUACACAGGGAGAGGCGGAGAGAGAGCAGCUUCUGCAAGCUGUUACUCAGGCUGGUUCUGGCUUCCAGUACUGUUUGUACAUUCCCAUGUUGUUCUGCAAUCUUUUCUCUUUUCGUUAGUCGUAUAAUUAAACUUUUUCAAAGGAUGCCUCCCUGUUUUCAGUAGCCUCCUACGCCCUGAGAUUUAGCCGUCCUUGUAUUCUUUCGCUCUUUGUCAAGUCUUUUUGAUACAAGCUGUAUGCUUGUUUGUCCCCUAUGACAUGGAUGAUCUUACUGAAUCUCCGUGAUGCCUUGAAAAGGGCUGUGCUCGGGCACCGUGGCAGCAUUUUGGUAUCCGAUACAGAUUUUCCUGUCUGGCAAACAGUAAAUUUCUUUGAUAUGUCUGUUAAGACCGUACCUGUUUUCCUGCUUUGGUAAGGAGUUGGAAGAUGAAAGGUUAGUGUUCAUUUCCUUCCACAUGGGCUGUAACCUUUUUCUGCAUGUCUUGUGGUUGUGUUUUGUUUGUUUGUUUGUUUGUUUUGGCAGGCCCUCCGGUAGAGCAGCAGGGUGGAAGGUCUCGAGCUGGUGGUGGCAGGACCCUGGCAGCUCUGCAGCCGAGCAGGGAGCGGAGAGUAUUUAUCGUCUUGCUGACUUAUUAACUGAUCAGAGAGAAGAAAUUCUCUCGGCAAACAAAAAGGACUUAGAAGAAGCUGAAAAUGAAGACACAUUCCUGGGACUUGCUUCUGCAAUGUUGAGAGUUAUUCAGGGUUGGUUUUUGAUACCCAACAUAGAGAAGGAGUUAGCUUACAUUCAGGUGGUGCAGUUUCUGCACGUGUCUUAUAAGGUAGGUUCCCCGCUUAACUUGCAAUUUAUGAGGUUCCUACCGAUGAGCGCUUUCCUGUCCACGCCGAAUACGGCUGAAUUGCAGGCUACGAUUAAACAUCAAGUGUUUAAUAUAGAUUGUUAAUAACAAAUUGCAACUGUUAAGAACAUAUGCUAAAAAAAAUUAUCACAGAAAGUAGAAGCUCUAGGCUUUGAGUGGUCUGUCCCAUACUGAUACUGCAUGUUUGCGCUGAGGCAGAAUGAUUGCUUUUACUCCCUUGUGGAGAGAUGAGUGUAGGCUCUCACUGCUGGUAUUUUUAGCAAGACUGCUUGAGCAUUUCGCUAACGUGU